UGUAGCGCAGAGGAUAGCACGUUGGGCUUCUAAUCCAAAAGUCGUGGGUUUGAAUCCCAAAAAA